rnacentral:rRNA from 1 species
CGUCAAGUCAUCAUGGCCCUUACGACCAGGGCUACACACGUGCUACAAUGGCAUAUACAAAGAGAAGCGACCUCGCGAGAGCAAGCGGACCUCAUAAAGUAUGUCGUAGUCCGGAUUGGAGUCUGCAACUCGACUCCAUGAAGUCGGAAUCGCUAGUAAUCGUAGAUCAGAAUGCUACGGUGAAUACGUUCCCGGGCCUUGUACACACCGCCCGUCACACCAUGGGAGUCAACUCGACUCCAUGAAGUCGGAAUCGCUAGUAAUCGUAGAUCAGAAUGCUACGGUGAAUACGUUCCCGGGCCUUGUACACACCGCCCGUCACACCAUGGGAGUGGGUUGCAAAAGAAGUAGGUAGCUUAACCUUCGGGAGGGCGCUUACCACUUUGUGAUUCAUGACUGGGGUGAAGUCGUAACAAGGUAACCGUAGGGGAACCUGCGGUUGGAUCACCUCCUUACCUUAAAGAA